rnacentral:lncRNA from 1 species
AGUUGGUGAUGGACAGGGAGGCCUGGCGUGCUGCGGUUCACGGGGUUGCAGAGUCAGACACGACUGAGUGACUGAACUGAAUUAGGAAAAGACAAAAUAAAAACUCAUAUUAAGGUACAUCUGUAAUUUUAAAAUUACAAUAACACCAUAUAUGACAAUUAGCAAAAGUAAAUAAAAAAAUAUACAAGGUUGAAAAGUAAUGAACUUAUCAUCCAAUUUAAGCUACAAAAAACACCCCCUUCACACACUUUGCAGAUCCUCCAUCAUUCAUCCUGCAAAUGACCCCAGCUGACCUCCUAUCACUACCCCACAGAACUCCCAUCACUCACUCUAGAGAUGCACCCAUUAUUCAACUCUCAGACUCCUUUCCCCACUAUUCUCCCCACAGAAUCAUCACCACUUGCCACAAACAGACAUCCCAUCACUGAGCCCGCAAAAGCCCCCAAACAACCACGCUAUAUCACCUCAGCUUCCCUCAAGCACUGUAUGGGUGAAAAAGCUGUGGCAACAUCAGCGAAACCAUCUCUCUAGGCCACUUCCAGUUUGUGUCAGAGUCCUAGCUUGACCUUUCUGACCACCAUAUAUCAAAAUACAUGUUCACUAGCAUUUUUGAAGUUACUCGCUGCCAGUAGUUAUCAUGGUGAAUGACAGCGUUUCUCUGUUUCCUUUGUUCAUGUAUAUUCAAUAGUUUCAUCAGGCAAACAACUUGAUCCCACCCAUUUGAACUAGUUAUUGGAGGCCGCCAUCUUCAAAGUGUUAUUCCCUACAGCCAGGGGAGGAGUUUGGAGUCUCACAGAGGAUGCAGUCCUCGGGAUUCUUUAUUUAACUUCUAUGUAGAGUACAUCAGGAGAAAUGUUGGGCUGGAUGCAUCACAAGCUGGAAUCAAGAUCACAGGAAGAAAUAGCAACAACCUCAGAUAUGCAGAUGAUACCAGUCUAAUGGCAGAAAGGGAAGAGGAACUAAAGAGCCUCCUGCUGAGGGUGAGAGAGGACAGUGGAAAAGCUGGCUUAAAACACAACAUUCAGAAAAUGUAUAUCAUGGCAUCCAUUCCCAUCACUUUAUAGCAAAUAGAUGGGAAAAAAACAGAAACAAUGAGAAACUUUAUUUUCUUGGGCUCCAGAAUCACUGUAGAUGGGGACUGCAGCCAUGAAAUUAAAAGACACUUGCUCUUUGGAAGAAA